rnacentral:lncRNA from 1 species
GUCCAUAUCACUCCAUACUGUACCCCAGUCAGAUUAUAGUCCAUAUCACUCCAUACUGUACCCCAGUCAGAUUAUAGUCCAUAUCACUCCAUACUGUACCCCAGUCAGAUUAUAGUCCAUAUCACUCCAUACUGUACCCCAGUCAGAUCACUCUUCAGAGGUACAGGCUUCUCUGCAGGCAGUAUUUACUCAGUACUAUAUCUUCAGAGGUACAGGCUUCUCUGUGCUCCAGUAGUUGGUACCAACAUGUAGUAAUAACAUAGUACAAACAAAGUACAAAUAUAUGGUGUAUUGUAACUGAGUAAAUAUUACUGUGGAAGGGUUGAUUGAAUAUGGUCCCUCCUCGUCCUUCACCAUCUCACCCAGGCCAGAGAUGAUAAGUGUGUAUGAUCUCGUAAGCCAUAAUGCCAUUGUUACACGUCAGGGGUAGGUGGGAGAAGAGAUGCCCAAACACCUCCAAAAUGAAGGUACACAUUGUAUUUCAGGGUGCUUCAUAGUAUCUGAGUUAACGUUUGCUUGGCUCUUCUCAGUUUAAUUCCAUAAGUGUAACACCGACCUUCACUGAGGUAGUGUUCUCCCUGUGAGCCAGUCAGCCGUCCUGUCCCAAUCCGUUAGUAGAGUAUUCAGUCAGCCGUCCUGUCCCAGUCCGUUAGUAGAGUAUUCAGCCAGCCGUCCUGUCCCAGUCUGUUAGUAGAGUAUUCAGCCAGCCGUCCUGUCCCAGUCCGUUAGUAGAGUAUUCAGCCAGCCGUCCUGUCCCAAUCCGUUAGUAGAGUAUUCAGCCAGCCGUCCUGUCCCAAUCCGUUAGUAGAGUAUUCAGUCAGCCGUCCUGUCCCAGUCCGUUAGUAGAGUAUUCAGCCAGCCGUCCUGUCCCAAUCCGUUAGUAGAGUAUUCAGUCAGCCGUCCUGUCCCAGUCCGUUAGUAGAGUAUUCAGUCAGCCGUCCUGUCCCAAUCCGUUAGUAGAGUAUUCAGCCAGCCGUCCUGUCCCAGUCCGUUAGUAGAGUAUUCAGCCAGCCGUCCUGUCCCAGUCCGUUAGUAGAGUAUUCAGCCAGCCGUCCUGUCCCAGUCCGUUAGUAGAGUAUUCAGUCAGCCGUCCUGUCCCAAUCCGUUAGUAAAGUAUUCAGCCAGCCGUCCUGUCCCAGUCCGUUAGUAGAGUAUUCAGCCAGCCGUCCUGUCCCAGUCCGUUAGUAGAGUAUUCAGCCAGCCGUCCUGUCCCAAUCCGUUAGUAGAGUAUUCAGCCAGCUGUCCUGUCCCAGUCCGUUAGUAGAGUAUUCAGUCAGCCGUCCUGUCCCAAUCCGUUAGUAAAGUAUUCAGCCAGCCGUCCUGUCCCAGUCCGUUAGUAGAGUAUUCAGCCAGCCGUCCUGUCCCAGUCCGUUAGUAGAGUAUUCAGCCAGCCGUCCUGUCCCAAUCCGUUAGUAAAGUAUUCAGCCAGCCGUCCUGUCCCAGUCCGUUAGUAGAGUAUUCAGUCAGCCGUCCUGUCCCAAUCCGUUAGUAAAGUAUUCAGUCAGCCGUCCUGUCCCAGUCCGUUAGUAAAGUAUUCAGCCAGCCGUCCUGUCCCAGUCCGUUAGUAGAGUAUUCAGCCAGCCGUCCUGUCCCAAUCCUAUAGUAUUCAGCCAGCCGCCCUGUCCCAGUCUGUUAGUAGAGUAUUCAGCCAGCUGUCCUGUCCCAGUCCGUUAGUAGAGUAUUCAGCCAGCCGUCCUGUCCCAGUCCGUUAGUAGAGUAUUCAGCCAGCCGUCCUGUCCCAGUCCAUUAGUAAAGUAUUCAGCCAGCCGUCCUGUCCCAGUCCGUUAGUAUUCAGCCAGCCGUCCUGUCCCAAUCCGUUAGUAGAGUAUUCAGCCAGCCGUCCUGUCCCAAUCCGUUAGUAGAGUAUUCAGCCAGCCGUCCUGUCCCAAUCCUAGAGUAUUCAGCCAGCCGUCCUGUCCCAGUCUGUUAGUAGAGUAUUCAGCCAGCCGUCCUGUCCCAGUCCGUUAGUAGAGUAUUCAGCCAGCCGUCCUGUCCCAAUCCGUUAGUAGAGUAUUCAGCCAGCCGUCCUGUCCCAGUCUGUUAGUAGAGUAUUCAGCCAGCCGUCCUGUCCCAGUCUGUUAGUAGAGUAUUCAGCCCAUCUCUCUGUGUGUCUGUGAGAGUGGAUUAACGUCAUGUCUGUCACCAUACAUCCCUAAAGUCACCCUAUUCCCUAUGCAGUGCACUGGGAUUUACUUUGACCAGUAGGGCUCUGGUCAAAAGUAGUGCACUAUAUAGGGAAUAGGGUGCCAAUUGGGAUAAAAGCUUGAUCAUCAUCCAUCCAGUACCUUUGUUGAAACGUUCCUCCUAAAACAAAGCUGCCAAAUUGGUUUGAAGCCAAAAGUUGUGUUUCUCUGUGUGUUUAACUGGUUUAAGUGUUUCAGUUUAAACCUCGUCCCUUUACAAUGUUACAUUGUUGUUUUUAUUGGAAAAUGAUAUUUGUUUAAUUGUUGAUAUCUUCAGAAGAUCAUAAGAGUUGUG